GCGCAGGCAAAGCCCACAUGAUUUCUAAUCAUGUCCGAUAACCACUCCGACACGUCCACUACUUUACUCUUCAUCUCAGAAGCAAAUAUUAUAUAUCAUUUAUUUUGUUUUGUUUUUUGGUAGAUUUGGGCCGGGACUCAGGAUUCAGUUCACGGCUUGAUGUUGAUAUUUGUUGAGAGGCUGUUCAACAGUGUGGAGUUCCCUUGUUGCUCAAACAAAUUGUGAGAUUCGAAAUGGCUGCUGGACUAGUUAAGAAGUUCUUGAUUGCAUCAGUGUUGAUGUGGAUGGCUCCUCUUGCAGUUCUCUAUGGUUUUAACCAUAAUUUACUACCCAAUAGACCUGCUCAUGGGUCGGACUACCCAGCCCGGUUCAGCCCGAAAGUCCGCUCGAAAUGUUGGAGGGUUUGGAUAAAAAUAUAAGUCCGUUGGACAAAAAAAUAAGGCCUAUUUAAAAAAUGGGCCGGGCAUCAGGUAAGGUAUUUUUGGUCCGAGUCCGGCCCGGCCCAACCCGAAUUCACUAAAUGACAAAAAAAUCUAUUAUUUUUUUUUAUUUUUUAAUGUUAUUUUCUUAUUGUUUUCUCCUAUUUUGCUACCAUAUUACUAUUAUAUUGCUAUUAUUUUAUUAUUAUUGUUUAGAUAUUGUAUAAAACUUAUUUUAUUAUUAAUUUUAUUAUUAUUUUAAAA